rnacentral:tRNA from 1 species
GGUCUGGUGGUGUAGUUGGUUUAUCACGUCAGUCUAACACACUGAAGGUCCCCGGUUCAAGCCCGGGCUAGAUCA